rnacentral:misc_RNA from 1 species
CAAUAAUACGCGUGUGUGUGUCCUGUGACUUUUUAUACGUAUUUUGCGACACAACGAUUAUUCUUUAGAUGCGUUAAACACGUCCGUGAUGUAUAUGGAUAUUUUCCGCUAUUUUUCAACUGAACUGGUACGAGGUGUUUUGUGGAAAACUGAUGAGAAUCAAAUCAGAGAAUGACAAGAUCGCGAAGCUGCGAAUGGAAUUCGCGGUGCAGGAAAAAAUAUUGGCAUACCAGUCAGUCAAGAAACUUGUUUUUCGGUGUCGGUUGAAACGAAGGAACAAAAAAUUGAAAAAGAUAAAUAAAUAAAAAUAAAUGAAAGGAACAC